rnacentral:rRNA from 1 species
AUUGAACGCUGGCGGCAGGCCUAACACAUGCAAGUCGAGCGGAUGAAGGGAGCUUGCUCCUGGAUUCAGCGGCGGACGGGUGAGUAAUGCUUAUGAAUAUGCCUGGUAGUGGGGGAUAACGUCCGCAAACGGGCGCUAAUACCGCAUCCGCCCUGAGUCAGCAAGUCGGGGAUCUUCGGACCUCACGCUAUCACAUGAGCCUAGGUCGGAUUAGCUAGUUGGUGGGGUAAAGGCCUACCAAGGCGACGAUCCGUAACUGGUCUGAGAGGAUGAUCAGUCACACUGGAACUUAGACACGGUCCAGACUCCUACGGGAGGCAGCAGUGGGGAAUAUUGGACAAUGGGCGAAAGCCUGAUCCAGCCAUGCCGCGUGUGUGAAGAAGGUCUUCGGAUUGUAAAGCACUUUAAGUUGGGAGGAAGGGCUGUAAGUUAAUACCUUGCUGUUUUGACGUUACCAACAGAAUAAGCACCGGCUAACUUCGUG